GCCUCCUUCACUGCCUGCAGGUCCCUGGAGGAAGAGCUGCAGCCGGGCUGGCAAAGAAGUCCCCACCGCCCCACUGUUCACGGGCAGCGAGGGGCAGCCAAAGGCAUCUGGAUGGCCAGAGGGAGCCAAAGCUGCUGGGCAAGGCCCUUCCGAGACCAGCCAGUGUGUGGGAGACCCGUCUUGGCCCUGCCAAGGGCACCACAAUGCCGGCUGUGCCAGGCUCAUCUGCUUUCAGCUGCUGUGCCAACAGGCCUGCUCCCAGGAGAAGAAGCUUGGGGUCAAGCCCCACACCACUUCCUGAACAACCCCAGGCGCGUAACACACUGACGGGACCCAGGAGGAACCUCCAUGAAAAAGGGUGCCGUCCUGCACAAGGACCCCAACCCAGCCAGGGACCCCUUUGGCAUUCCUGGUCCUCCCGGCAAAAGAGCUGGAGGGAAAGAGCGGCUGAAAAAGGAGCCUUUCUCUUCCAACCUCCGCAACCUCAAUUGGGUCCAGGCGCCAGGCCAGCCCCCCCCCCCCACAGGGCCGCCUUGGCCAAUGUUGAAGGGGGCAGCGAGGCUGUGAAGCCUCCCCAGCAGGGCCACUGGCACAAGGGCUGUGGGCACGUGUGGGUGCAACGCCACAUCCAGGACGGUGAUUUGGGGUGCGUUAAUAGAAACCCCCCCUCCCAGCAAAGCAUCCUGGCUUCACAUCUGGCUGAAACAGAACCAGCACGCCCUGCCUGGCAAACUCUCCCUGGUGCUAGGCAACCUGGUCCCAGCUCAGCUGCCCAGAGUCGCCCGGUGGCAAAUAAAUCAAAUAAAUAAAUCUAUG